rnacentral:lncRNA from 1 species
UUUCUGCUGGGGACUCAGACUUGGUCCAUCCCGAUUGAUGACUUGCUGCAUUUUUUGACUGAGACUGAUCUUGUACCCGUAUAUAUUUUGGCUAGUUGCCAUGUUUAGGGCCUUGUGCCGAUCUGUAAAACUCCUAGGGAGCAUGUUGAGCUUAUUGACCUCAUUUUACCUAUUGAACAUUGUCACACCCCUUUUUUAAUACACACUCUAUUAAAUCAUCUUAAAAUUAAUAAAAGGAUUUAGUAAAAGCUCGAAAAGGGUUUUUGAAUUUGAAAAGUGACAAGAUUUGCGUUUCAAAAGGAUUAAUUCAGAGUCGCCACCUGACAUUUGAUUUCGUUGUGUCAGGCUACCAUUUUUUUCAAAAAUAAUAAUUUUCCUUUCAAAACACUUUGAACUCUAAACUAAGUCUACACCAGAUAUUCAGGUAAGGGGGUUUAUUUGACUCGGGAGAAGGUGUUAGGCACUCUCCAAGCCCCGUGAAGGUCACAGUUGCGUACUCGAUCUAAUUGGCAUUUAAAACAUUCAAAUUGAGGUAAAAACACAAAGAAAAAUAAACACGGAAGAUGCUCGAGGUCGUCCCCACCUAAAUAAAAUAAAAAUAAAAAUAAAUUAAGAAUACUACAAGUUCUAUUUUCGGUCUCCGAAUACAAAUACUACGGAGCAUACCCCGGAUAAAAAUAUAUAAAAAACUCUACUGGGCAUUCCCCAGAAUAUAAACUAAUGGGGACGAGCUUUCGCCUUGAAACUAACAAAAUCCUAAGGCUUUCCUGCCCAAGUAUGGUCGACCUAAAGCAUGCUCCUAGCGAUUAAAGUAUAUCAUAAAUCGUAAAAAAAUUCUAGUGCUCAAACUUCCAUUUCGUUUUUGGAUUUCCAAUCACCACGCCUCAACCAUUCAACAAAUAUCAAUCCCACAUAAUCAAGCAACCAUCCACACAAACAUGAAAAGUAGGCGUACAAAAGUUUAUGAACCGAAGAAAGAAACAAAUAAGUAGAAGAACUAAAUUGUGGAACCAAGUAUGAUAAGAGUAUGUCAUUAAACCCGUUAAUCCAUUUUACCCUCAUAAAACACUAUUGCCUAACCUUAAAGUGAUAAUACCUUAUGUUCAACUAUAACCCAUGAUAUCUAAAAUAUAACCAUGAACCAAUCUGAUCAAACUAGGAUAUGUAAUUCUAUCACGUUGCACUUAAAAUAAAGUGACCAGAUCUACUCAUGUUUAAGUCCUAAAAAGUUCACAAAUUAAUUAUGCAAGCUAAUCAAUUUACUCUCCCUAAUUUAGCUUCUAUGCACAUAACUUCACUCAUAUCCAACUACCUACUAGUUUAAAUUCCUCCCAGAAACAUGCAGACAAUAAACUAUGAUUCCAAUGCAAGAAGAAAACAACUUUCAAUUUUAAUUUUUAGCGACAUAAGAGUCUAGAUUUCCCAAUAUACAACUUAACUCACAAUAACUCAGAUAAAUACACAAUAAACUAUGAUUCCUCCAAUGCAAGAAGAAAACAAUUUUCAAUUUUCAUUUUUAGCAACAUAGAGUCUAGAUUUCCCAAAGACAACUUAACUCACAACAACAACAACUACCCAGUAUAGUCCCACUAAGUGGGGUCUGGGGAGGGUAUUAUGUAGACAGGCCUUAUCCCUACCUGAAAGGGCAGAGAGGCUGUUUC